GAUAGAUACCAAGCCACUGAAAAUGACAAAUCUUUCAUUCCGACGGUCCGAAGGUGUUCAACAAAACAAUCAGCAAAUCAGAAAAGCAGAUUGCAUCUCUUACAAAUAAUACUGUGGACAGUUCCCUCAGUGCAUAAGCAGGAAUAGGUAAAAAUCGGCGCGUUCACGGCAGAUGCAGGCAGCCGUCCAACCUUAGCACGGACAUUUCCAAAGCAACCAGGACACCUUUCAAGAAACAGUGAUGAGGCUCCUGUUGAAAACACCUCCCCAUGCAACCGCAUUAACUACUUUUGAAGUCAUUAGUGAAUUAUACUUGUUUGAGCGUGUUAAUGCGGUUCUAGAGGAAACUGCACCAAUCAGAUGGAAAUUUCUUAUCCCUGAUAGGGCUGUUGUUAAGGGUUUUCUGGCCACCUCAGACUGAACUGUGGUACUUUAUCAUAUUAAAAUUGUAAUAAAAUGCA